rnacentral:lncRNA from 1 species
GUUUUGGAGUGCAGGCGUGAAUAGUCCUUUCUGUCCUGCUUUGAGUACUGCUGUUGGGUGCCUUGGGGGGACCUUAAGGGAGCUCGGAAGUUGAGACGUGGUGAGUGCGAGAUCACUGCCCACAAAGGGGAGGAGCAGGCGGAUGAACAGCCAGAGCUGCAAUGGUGGAUCCUCCUCCAGGGCUGCAUGGGACGACAGAUAGAUGAGGCUCUAGGACGGGCACAAAUGCUACCCGAAUGCAAACCACUCCGGAGAUCUGUAAAAGGACUGGCCCCGGACAGGAAGCACACUUUAAACUAGAGGCGGGGUAAGACUCGUGGGCCAAUCAAGGCUUCCGAACAGAACUGCCAUUCUGGCAAUGAGGCGGGGUCUUCCGGUUGCCUGCUGGAAGUUUGUUUUUGCUCUGCAGGAUUGAAGGGUUCUCCCUAUGCUGCUUUGAGCGCUGCUAUUGGGUGCCUUGAGGGGACCUCAAGUAAGCUCCAUUUUUGAAACAUGAGUCAAAGCCCCGGUGAAGAUUCUGUGACGGUUCAUUGUAUAAUUUAUGAUGAUGAAGAUUGAGUUGCAUUUUGCGGAAAAGAGAUGUUGAGAUAUCUAAGGCAUUGAGAAAUCUGUCAUGCAGACAUGCACACAGGGAGAGGGAGUACCCAAACUGAUGAGAACUUACAGGAAUUGGACCAUCUAAGCCCUUAGAAAGUGAAGUCCACUGUGUCUCAAACAAAGAUCUUCAUCCACAUCUUGAAGUUUGAAGUUUGGCCAAGAAUAUACAGAGUAGAUUCUCUUUCUCAGGAUGGCAAGUGUUCAUGACAUCAAUACUACCCAAGGCUUCAGAGUCAUUGGAUUGCAGUGAUGUCAGGAUUAUGCUUUGUGUUGUCCAAAUCUAUGGGAUAUUUUAGGAUGCAGUGACUUAUGAUGAUGUGAGUGUGAACUUCACUGAGGAAGAGUGGGAUUUGCUGGAUCCUUCCCAGAAAAGUCUCUAUGAAGAGGUGAUGCUGGAGACCUACCAGAACAUCACUGCUAUAGGUAAGUGAAUUUCCUCUUGCUUUUCUGAAUAAGGG